CGCUUUUGGAUGAGUUCGCGUCCCAUUAGCUAGUUGGCGGGGUAACGGCCCACCAAGGCGACGAUGGGUAGCCGGCCUGAGAGGGUGUCCGGCCACAUUGGGACUGAGAUACGGCCCAGACUCCUACGGGAGGCAGCAGUAGGGAAUUUUGCGCAAUGGGGGAAACCCUGACGCAGCAACGCCAUGUGUGGGAUGAAGCAUUUCGGUGCGUAAACCACUGUCGGCAGGGAAUAAAGCCCGUCUUCAUGGCGGGGGUGAAUGUACCUGCAAAGGAAGCCCCGGCUAACUUCGUGCCAGCAGCCGCGGUAAUACGAGGGGGGCAAGUGUUGUUCGGAAUUACUGGGCGUAAAGGGAGCGUAGGCGGGCUUUUAAGUUGGAUGUUUAAAACCGGGGCCCAACUCCGGCGCGGCAUCCAAAACUGGGAGUCUUGAAUGGGACAGAGGCCAGUGGAAUUGGAGGUGUAGCGGUGGAAUGCGUAGAGAUCUCCAAGAACACCCGUUGCGAAGGCGGCUGGCUGGGUCCACAUUGACGCUGAGCUCGAGAGCGUGGGGAGCAAACAGGAUUAGAUACCCUGGUAGUCCACGCCGUAAACGAUGAACACUAGUUUUGAGCUCGUCAACGGCUCAGAGCCGCAGCUAACGCGUUAAGUGUUCCGCCUGGG
rnacentral:rRNA from 1 species